AUUGAACGCUGGCGGCAGGCUUAACACAUGCAAGUCGAGCGAGGGGCGGACGGGUGAGUAAUGUCUGGGAAACUGCCUGAUGGAGGGGGAUAACUACGGGAAAGGGUAGCUAAUACCGCAUACUAUCAGAUGUGCCCAUAUGGGAUUAGAUAGUAGGUGGUGUAAUGGCUCACCUAGGCGACGAUCCCUAGCUGGUCUGAGAGGAUGACCAGCCACACUGGAACGGAGACACGGCCCAGACUCCUACGGGAGGCAGCAGUGGGGAAUAGUGCACAAUGGGCGCAAGCCUGAUGCAGCCAUGCCGCGUGUGGGAAGAAGGCCUUCGGGUUGUAAAGCACGUUCAGCGGGGAGGCGGUACUGGCAGAAGAAGCACCGGCUAACUCCGUGCCAGCCGCCGCGGUAAUAC
rnacentral:rRNA from 1 species